GGUUAAGUGACUAAGCGUACAUGGUGGAUGCCUUGGCAGUCAGAGGCGAUGAAGGACGUACUAACCUGCGAUAAGCCGUGAGCAGUCGGUAAGAGACAUUACGACUCACGGAUUUCCGAAUGGGGAAACCCACUUAGCAUAAGCUAGGUAUCGCUGCGUGAAUACAUAGCGUAGCGAGGCGAACCGGGAGAACUGAAACAUCUAAGUACCCCGAGGAAAAGAAAUCAACCGAGAUUCCCUCAGUAGCGGCGAGCGAACGGGGAUUAGCCCUUAAGCAUCUUGGAAGUUAGUGGAACGGUCCUGGAAAGGCCGGCGAUACAGGGUGAUAGCCCCGUACACGAAAACAACCUUGAUGUGAAAUCGAGUAGGGCGGGACACGUGACAUCCUGUCUGAAUAUGGGGGGACCAUCCUCCAAGGCUAAAUACUCCUGACUGACCGAUAGUGAACCAGUACCGUGAGGGAAAGGCGAAAAGAACCCCUGUGAGGGGAGUGAAAUAGAACCUGAAACCGUGUACGUACAAGCAGUGGGAGCCCUUCGGGGUGACUGCGUACCUUUUGUAUAAUGGGUCAGCGACUUACAUUUUGUAGCGAGGUUAACCGUAUAGGGGAGCCGUAGGGAAACCGAGUCUUAACUGGGCGUCUAGUUGCAAGGUGUAGACCCGAAACCGGGUGAUCUAGCCAUGGGCAGGUUGAAGGUUGAGUAACAUCAACUGGAGGACCGAACCCACUAACGUUGCAAAGUUAGGGGAUGACCUGUGGCUGGGGGUGAAAGGCCAAUCAAACUCGGAGAUAGCUGGUUCUCCCCGAAAGCUAUUUAGGUAGCGCCUCGGACGAAUACUACUGGGGGUAGAGCACUGUUUGGGCUAGGGGGUCAUCCCGACUUACCAACCCCAUGCAAACUCCGAAUACCAGUAAGUAAUAUCCGGGAGACACACGGCGGGUGCUAACGUCCGUCGUGAAGAGGGAAACAACCCAGACCGCCGGCUAAGGUCCCAAAGUUCUGGUUAAGUGGGAAACGAUGUGGGAAGGCUCAGACAGCUAGGAUGUUGGCUUAGAAGCAGCCAUCAUUUAAAGAAAGCGUAAUAGCUCACUAGUCGAGUCGGCCUGCGCGGAAGAUGUAACGGGGCUCAAACCAGGCACCGAAGCCGCGGAUUCACGCUAAGCGUGAGUGGUAGGGGAGCGUUCUGUAAGUCUGCGAAGGUGU
rnacentral:rRNA from 1 species